rnacentral:snoRNA from 1 species
UCUUUGAAUUAUUAAUUAGGUAUAGUUUUUUUUUUUGGUUUGAUGGAAGGAAGAUUGCCUCUUCUUUCAGCAGCAAGUUCUGUUCUUGUUAGCUUUGUUCUGGAGGCAUAUAU